GGAAGCGUCGCAUAGUGGUCUAGUGCGCUCGCUUGGAAAGCGAGUAGGCCGCAAGGUCUCGCGAGUUCGAAUCUCGCCGCUUCCGCCA
rnacentral:tRNA from 1 species